rnacentral:rRNA from 1 species
UACGUAGGGCGCAAGCGUUGUCCGGAAUUAUUGGGCGUAAAGGGCGCGUAGGCGGCCACGCGUGUCUUUCGUGAAAUCCCUCGGCUUAACUGAGGACGUGCGGAAGAAACUGCGAGGCUUGAGUCCGGGAGAGGGGGGUGGAAUUCCCAGUGUAGCGGUGAAAUGCGUAGAUAUCGGAAGGAACACCAGUGGCGAAAGCGGCUUCCUGGUCCAGCACCGACGUUCAGGCACGAAAGCGUGGGGAGCAAACAGG